rnacentral:rRNA from 1 species
GAUGAACGCUGGCGGCGUGCCUAAUACAUGCAAGUCGAACGAAACUUCUUUAUCACCGAGUGCUUGCACUCACCGAUAAAGAGUUGAGUGGCGAACGGGUGAGUAACACGUGGGCAACCUGCCCAAAAGAGGGGGAUAACACUUGGAAACAGGUGCUAAUACCGCAUAACCAUAGUUACCGCAUGGCAACUAUGUAAAAGGUGGCUAUACUACCGCUUUUGGAUGGGCCCGCGGCGCAUUAGCUAGUUGGUAGGGUAAAGGCUUACCAAGGCAAUGAUGCGUAGCCGAAUUGAGAGGUUGAUCGGCCACAUUGGGACUGAGACACGGCCCAAACUCCUACGGGAGGCAGCAGUAGGGAAUCUUCCACAAUGGGCGAAAGCCUGAUGGAGCAACGCCGCGUGGGUGAAGAAGGUCUUCGGAUCGUAAAACCCUGUUGUUAGAGAAGAAAGUGCGUGAGAGUAACUGUUCACGUUUCGACGGUAUCUAACCAGAAAGCCACGGCUAACUACGUG